rnacentral:tRNA from 1 species
GGAGAAAUGGCCGAGAGGCUGAAGGCACUCGCCUGCUAAGCGAGUAAUCGGGUAAAACUGAUUCCAGAGUUCGAAUCUCUGUUUCUCCGCCA